AUACAGAGGGUGCGAGCGUUAAUCGGAGUUACUGGGCGUAAAGAGUACGUAGGCGGUUAUCUUAGUCGGAUGUGAAAGCCCAAGGCUUAACCUUGGAAUUGCAUUCGAUACUAUAUAACUAGAGUACAGUAGAGGAAGGUGGAAUUCAUAGUGUAGCGGUGAAAUGCGUAGAUAUUAUGAGGAACAUCAGUGGCGAAGGCGACCUUCUGGACUGAUACUGACGCUGAGGUACGAAAGCGUGGGGAGCAAACAGGAUUAGAAACCCUAGUAGUCC
rnacentral:rRNA from 1 species